AGAGCAAGAAUUGAAGGUUUGGAUGAGGAGCCUUUUUUCUGCCCGAGGGCCACAUUUCCUCCCAGGGGCCACAUGCCAGUGGUGAGCGGUGCCAGAGGCAAAAAGCAGGUGGAGCAAUGGAAAUGAAUUUUAGUAAUAGGUAAAAAUUUAAUGUUAUAUUAUAUUAAGAUUAAGGACUGGGAUUAAAAAGGAGGGAAAGGAAUUGCUGGACUAACAAACUGAAUUGGAAUACAAAAGAGGGAGGUAUGAGGAGGUCCGGGAAACAAGUAAAUGUAAAAGUAGUGAUGAAAAGAAGGAAUUGUUUUUUAACUGUUUUUUCUUUUUUUCUUUUUGUAUUUUGUUUGUGUACUUUUCUUUAUAUUCUUGAAUUUUUCUUUUUUGUUGAUGUGAUUUUUUCUUUGUGAAACUUUAAUAAAUAUCAUUUAAAAAAAAAGGAAAUGAAUUUUAGCUUUGUACAGGAGUAGACCAUAUUCACACACAGCUCUCUAUCCUCUAUCCUGGCCAGGGCUGGCCCACCCAUGAGGCAAGGUGAGGCAACAGGAUCUGCAAGGGCAGCAGAGCUGACCUCCAAGGCAUGCAUCACCCACUGUUGCUGCCUGCCACCGUGGCAACAACAACUAUGGUGUGCUCCUUGGGGACCAGAUCUGUCUCCUCUCCAGCAGCGGCUCCCCCCCUGCCACCUCAACAGCUUCCUGUUGGAAAAUAAGAGGAACUUCCUGUCUUCAUCCUUGUUCCCAAUGUAGAUAUUUAUUCUCUGCUUGCAGAUCUUCACUUGCCGCUUCUUCCCUAGUGCGGGGGGGGGGGCACCAUUUUGUGAUUCACCUCUGGUGCCAAAAUGAACAACAACAACAACAAUAAUAAUUAAUAAUAAUAGUUUAUUUAUACCCCACCCAUCUGGCUGGGUUUCCCCAGCCACUCUGGGCGGCUUCCAACAAAGUAUUAAAAUACAGUGGUCUGUUAAAUGUUAAAAGCUUCCCUAAAGAGGGCUGCCUUCAGAUGUCUUCUAAAAGUCUGGUAGUUGUUCUUCUCUUUGGCAUCUGGUGGGAGGGCGUUCCACAGGGCGGGUGCCACUACUGAGAAGGCCUGGCUUCUUGCAGUGAGGGACCUGCCAGAAGGCCCUCAGCGCUGGACCUCAGUGUCCGGGCUGAACGAUGGGGGUGGAGACGCUCCUUCAGGUAUACUGGACUGAGGCCGUCUUGGGUCAGCUCUGAUCCAGGGCAGCAUUAUCAGAGCUCCAGGACACGUCCCAGCAAGGCAAAAACAUUCAAGGAGGGAGCACAGCAGGGCUGGUGAAGACUGUGCCCUUAGGAGAGAGACUGUGACAUGGGGAAGAAUCUGGAGGGCCUGGUAGAGAGGCUGCUUUUGCCCCUAGACCUGAGGUUGAAGAGUUGCUGCUGGUCAGUCCUGAACUAGAUGGGCCAGUUGGUUUAAGGCAGAUUCCUAUCUUAUUUAAGAAUGUCAAUAAAAGGUUCACUGUGAUGCAGCCCUUAUCUGCAAUGUAACUAAGUAAUUUCCCAUUCUAGUGCUUUAAUUCCAUAAUGCAGGCACAGCAAUGUGCCCUGAAAUCCCAUUGUAAUUGUGUAUUAAUCUUGUUCAUGCAUACUGACACAGCUGAGUGCCAACUCAGGUGGUGCUUUGUUUUUCAGCAUUGAAAUAAAAGCAUGCAGCAGACUAAGGCAUUACACAGAUUAAAAUUUGGGGGAAGCAGAAAUUACAAACAAAAUGUAAUUUAGGGACUCCACUAGAUUGGAAAGAAGAAAAAGCGACUUAUAUGCGUUGUAUAUGCAAUAUAACAUUGUGCUACGAGCCCCAUUUCUCUCUACCUGUUUUCCCUGUUUAGAUUUAUAACACGUUUAACCGAAACGCUUCUCUGAUGUGUAUAGAUCCAGCCUAGGUGUCAGACACGCCUUUUCCAAGCAGGCCUUCCAGAGGCAAGAAUCAACUUUGGAAGAAACAAUAUCAACAGAGCGCCAUCUGCAGAGUGUCAUUCACCCCUGGUUAAUCGCAGCCAGUGCAACCAGGAUGAUGAGCCUGACUAGGUUUUCAAAUCCAAGAUUACAGGCUGAAGUUUUAUACGGACUCAUAUCAUCUCUAAAUGAGAUGCUUUUUCCAUGGUGUCAGUUCACAUGCUCUGCUGCCAGUCAUCGGGUGUGGAGACAUCUUCAUGGAUGUUGUUCCAUGCUGUGACGAUCUGAGGUUCCUUCAUAUAAUCCCUACAUCUUUUUAGAGGAAAGAAGGAAGAAAAAGAAGGAUGUAAGCCCCACACUGUGG
rnacentral:lncRNA from 1 species